AGUGAACGCUGGCGGUAGGCCUAACACAUGCAAGUCGAACGGCAGCACAGUAAGAGCUUGCUCUUACGGGUGGCGAGUGGCGGACGGGUGAGGAAUACAUCGGAAUCUACUUUUUCGUGGGGGAUAACGUAGGGAAACUUACGCUAAUACCGCAUACGACCUACGGGUGAAAGCAGGGGAUCUUCGGACCUUGCGCGAUUGAAUGAGCCGAGGCCGGAUUAGCUAGUUGGCGGGGUAAGGGCCAACCAAGGCGACGACCCGUAGCUGGUCUGAGAGGAUGAUCAGCCACACUGGAACUGAGACACGGUCCAGACUCCUACGGGAGGCAGCAGUGGGGAAUAUUGGACAAUGGGCGCAAGCCUGAUCCAGCCAUACCGCGUGGGUGAAGAAGGCCUUCGGGUUGUAAAGCCCUUUUGUUGGGAAAGAAAAGCAGCAGGUUAAUACCCCGCUGUUCUGACGGUACCCAAAGAAUAAGCACCGGCUAACUUCGUG
rnacentral:rRNA from 1 species